CUGGCUCCUAGCCACAACUGUUCUCCCUUGCUUUUCUGUCUCAUUCUCUCCCUUCUGCCUCACCAGAUCCUCAUAAAACAAAUUUCCUAAACCUGCAGUGGACACAGAGGGGUCCAGGUCCAAGCCCUUGGAGGCAGCGGGCCUCCUCCACCAUGGUGAGAAUGUGAUCAGAACUGCUGGGAACCCCGUGGUCUGGCCAGGACAUAUACUGUAGCUGGUGCACAGAGCGGAAUUCCUGAGACGGGAACAGAGAGUGGAAAAAAGAAAAAAAGAAAAAAAACAUGUUUAUUGAUCACCUACUAUAGUUCUAAGCUUAUUCCAUUUAAAUCCACCAGAUAAGGAAGGAGACUAAGAGGAUUUGCAUAGCAUGCACAAGGCUGUGGGCUCCACCCUCAGCACCAUAGAGACAAGCAAGUCCAUUGUGUGCUAACUGAGGGUGACAGGAACGGACUGGAAUCAUGAGUUUCCAUUUACAGGAGAAGAGACAGCUCGUCCCAUGCAAGAGUCCCUUCACCUUUUAACGUUUUGGUACCUUCUGGAAUGUAACCUGGAGGGUCCUGAGAGUGAUGUCUGCAUUCAGUGUUGUCUCCUUUGUCUAUGCGCCAUGUGAGAAGGGGACAGAGGAAACAGAAGAGAAAUAGAGAUCUUAAUAACACACUUCACAUUUCUAGAAAGCAAAGGUUUGGUUUUGCUUUGGAGACAAGCCUUGCUGUAGAGCGCAGACUGGCCUCAAACCAGAGAUCCUCUUCGGGAUCCGCCUUUCAUGUGCUGGGAUGGCAGGCGUGCACUAUCUUGCCUGAUGAAAGUAAAGCAUUUUUUUAAUAUUUAUUUAUUUACUAUAUGUAAGUACACUGUAGCUGUCUUCAGACACUCCAGAAGAGAGCAUCAGAUUUCAUUACGGGUGGUUGUGAACCACCAUGUGGUUUCUGGGAUUUGAACUCAGGACCUUUGGAAGAGCAGUCGGCACUCUUAACCGCUGAGCCAUCUCACCAGCCCCAGUAAAGCAUUCUUAAUUGAAAAUCAAACACUAAAAACAUUUUUAAAACUCUUAGGCCUGCGGUGCCGUCUUGCAUUCCCAGGAUUCCUGGCUUAGCCAGUGGUUGAGACUGGAGACCUUGCUGGGCACGUCCUACAGGUCAGACUCUGGUGGACAAGCUUGUGUGUCUGAUUCCCAUUCCUCGGGAAUUACAUUUUAUAAAAGUUUUAUAUUUAUAUUUUUAUAUUUAUGUUUUAUUAUAUUUUUGCUUCCUUUUUCAUUCUUUUUUUUUUUUAAAGGUUUAUUUAUUUAUUAUAUGUAAGUACACUGUAGCUGUCUUCAGACACUCCAGNNNNNNNNNNNNNNNNNNNNNNNNNNNNNNNNGGGUGCUCUUACCCACUGAGCCAUCUCACCAGCCCCCCUUUUUCAUUCUUAUUAUGGGUUUUUUUUUAACCUCAAAAGAAUUUUUUUAAAUGGUUUCACAACCAAUGAUGAUAUAUCCAUUAGGUACUAUGCUACUGUAAAUGUAGCCAUAUAUUUUUAAUUCAAAUAAAUUUCUAUACUGAUG
ensembl:processed_transcript Gm28417 predicted gene 28417